GACGAACCGUCCAAACGUUAUUCGGAAUCACUGGGCUUACAGAGUUCGUAGGCGGUCUGGAAAGUAGGGUGUGAAAGCCCUCGGCUCAACCGAGGAAUUGCGCUCUAAACUGCUGUGCUUGAGGAACCUAGAGGUGAGCAGAACUGAUGGUGGAGCGGUGAAAUGCGUUGAUAUCAUCAGGAAUACCGGAGGCGAAGGCGGCUCACUGGGGGUUUUCUGACGCUGAGGAACGAAAGCCAGGGGAGCGAACGGG
rnacentral:rRNA from 1 species